rnacentral:misc_RNA from 1 species
ACUGGUUUGGAAGUACAGACCUAUUUAUGUUAGUAAGUUUAAAGUUGUUCCCGUUUAGCGUUAUCCUCGAUACCUCUUCAUUGUGAAUUCCUUCUAAUUAAUUCCCAUAAGUAAAAAUACAAAACAA